UGCUGUUUGCUUGUGGUUAGCAUUUAAGGGGUGAAGAGGAAAGUGAGUAAGUGUGUCCUACCAUGAAUUAUAUGCCCCUGGAGGUAAUGGGCCAGCAUCAAUGAGUUGAAUCCAUGAUCUUGAAAAUAAUUAUGUUGACAGUUGCAUUUUCCACUGUUGUUACAUGUACCAUUGGUUUGGGAGGCCUGUUGAUGCAACAGCACAUACUUUAACCUCUGUUAUGUUUAUAUGAUACCUUUAGACUAUUCAAAAGGAUUUGGUGGAAAAUACGGAGUUCAGAAGGACAGGGUUGACAAGGCAGCAGUUGACUGGAACUAUGAGGGCAAAACGGAAGCACAUGCUUCUCAAAAAGAUUACUCCAACGGAUUUGGU